rnacentral:rRNA from 1 species
UACGUAGGGGGCUAGCGUUGUCCGGAAUCAUUGGGCGUAAAGAGCGCGUAGGCGGCUAGAUAAGUCCGGUGUGAAAGUCACAGGCUCAACCUGUGAAUGCCGCUGGAAACUGUCUGGCUAGAGUCCGGAAGGGGCGAGUGGAAUUCCUGGUGUAGCGGUGAAAAUGCGCAGAUAUCAGGAGGAACACCAAUGGCGAAGGCAGCUCGCUGGGACGGUACUGACGCUGAGGCGCGAAAGCGUGGGGAGCAAACAGG